UGCUGAGACGUUGCUAGAAAGAAAAUCAUCAUCUGCCUUUGUAGUGCUUCAAGAUACCUCGUCGAGACUUUACUGCGUCUCGAUGUGCUCCAAAUGCUGUCUCACUAAGGUCAUCUACUGGGCGAGGGUGCUCGUCAAGUUUGCGACAUGCUUGGACAAAGGUUAAAUAUUAUUUGGGGUGAAAGAACUCGAGUGGCAGUGUAAAGGACUUUGGGUGCAUAAUUCGAGCAUG
rnacentral:lncRNA from 1 species